CAGAUUCAUUUUCUGCCGCCGAAUACAUUAGCAUGGGAUAAUGGAAUAGGACCCUGUCCUCCUAUUUUCAGUUGGUUUUGGCAGCGCGAGGACUAGGGUAAUGAUUAAUAGGGAUAGUUGGGGGCAUUAAUAUUUAAUUGUCAGAGGUGAAAUUCUUGGAUUUAUGAAAGAUUAACUUCUGCGAAAGCAUCUGCCAAGGAUGUUUUCAUUAAUCAAGAACGAAAGUUAGGGGAUCGAAGACGAUCAGAUACCGUCGUAGUCUUAACCAUAAACGAUGCCGACCAGCGAUUAGGAGACGUUGAAUACAAAACACCACCAUCGGCGCGGUCGUCCUUGGCGUUCGUGUUCACGCACGGGCGCGAGGGCGGCUUAGCCCGAUGGCACCGGUGAAUGACUCCCCUAGCAGCAUUGUGAGAA
rnacentral:rRNA from 2 species